rnacentral:rRNA from 1 species
AUACGGAGGAUGCAAGCGUUAUCCGGAUUUAUUGGGUUUAAAGGGUGCGUAGGCGGAUGAUUAAGCGUGAGGUGAAAUGCCACUGCUCAACAGUGGAACUGCCUCGCGAACUGGUUGUCUUGAAUGCUCCUGCCGUGGGAGGAAUGUGUGGUGUAGCGGUGAAAUGCAUAGAGAUCACACAGAACACCGAUUGCGAAGGCAUCUCACGAAGGGGUGAUUGACGCUGAGGCACGAAAGCGUGGGGAUCAAACAGGAUUAGAUACCCUGGUAGUCCACGCAGUAAACGAUGAUAACUAACCGCUGGAUCGUAGUGAUUCAGUGGCCAAGCGAAAGCGAUAAGUUAUCCACCUGGGGAGUACGACCGCAAGGUUGAAACUCAAAUGAAUUGGCGGG